rnacentral:rRNA from 1 species
UACGGGGGGGGCAAGCGUUGUUCGGAAUUACUGGGCGUAAAGGGCGUGUAGGCGGCCAACUAAGUCCGACGUGAAAUCCCCAGGCUUAACCUGGGAACUGCGUCGGAUACUGGAUGGCUUGAAUCCGGGAGAGGGAUGCAGAAUUCCAGGUGUAGCGGUGAAAUGCGUAGAUAUCUGGAGGAAUACCGGUGGCGAAGGCGGCAUCCUGGACCGACAUUGACGCUGAGGAGCGAAAGCUAGGGGAGCAAACGGG